rnacentral:rRNA from 1 species
AUACCGGCGGCCCGAGUGGCGGCCACUAUUAUUGGGCCUAAAGCGUCCGUAGCCGGGCUGGUAAGUCCCCCGGGAAAUCUGGCGGCUUAACCGUCAGACUGCCGGGGGAUACUGCCAGCCUAGGGACCGGGAGAGGCCGGGGGUAUUCCCGGGGUAGGGGUGAAAUCCUGUAAUCCCGGGAGGACCACCUGUGGCGAAGGCGCCCGGUUGGAACGGGUCCGACGGUGAGGGACGAAGGCCAGGGGAGCGAACCGGAUUAGAAACCCUAGUAGUCC